AACGAACGCUGGCGGCAGGCCUAACACAUGCAAGUCGAGCGGGACCUUCGGGUCUAGCGGCGGACGGGUUAGUAACGCGUGGGAACGUGCCCAAAGGUACGGAAUAGCCUCGGGAAACUGAGAGUAAUACCAUAUGUGCCCCUCGGGGGAAAGAUUUAUCGCCUUUGGAUCGGCCCGCGUUGGAUUAGGUAGUUGGUGGGGUAAUGGCCUACCAAGCCGACGAUCCAUAGCUGGUUUGAGAGGAUGAUCAGCAACACUGGGACUGAGACACGGCCCAGACUCCUACGGGAGGCAGCAGUGGGGAAUCUUAGACAAUGGGGGAAACCCUGAUCUAGCCAUGCCGCGUGAGCGAUGAAGGCCUUAGGGUUGUAAAGCUCUUUCAGAUGGGAAGAUAAUGACGGUACCAUCAGAAGAAGCCCCGGCUAACUCCGUG
rnacentral:rRNA from 1 species